rnacentral:rRNA from 1 species
GACGAAGGAUGCAAGCGUUAUCCGGAUUCACUGGGUUUAAAGGGUGCGUAGGUGGGCUAGUAAGUCCGUGGUGAAAUCUCCAAGCUUAACUUGGAAACUGCCGUGGAUACUAUUAGUCUUGAAUAUUGUGGAGGUAAGCGGAAUAUGUCAUGUAGCGGUGAAAUGCUUAGAUAUGACAUAGAACACCGAUAGCGAAGGCAGCUUGCUACACAAUCAUUGACACUGAGGCACGAAAGCGUGGGGAUCAAACAGG